AUUGUCCCAGAGGCACUGCAGAUGUGGCUGCUAUGUCCGAUGUGUAUCAGUAGAUGACGGAGAGAAGAGAGUCUCUGUCUAUGCUCGGUGUUCUGACCUCUGAACAUCUGAAUGAUUAGAAGCCUAAUACU